GCGACGCGGUGGCCAAUCAAAUGCUUAAUAAUAUAUAUAUAACUUUUGCCGCGUGGAAAAAAUUUGAAUCUAAUUUUUCGAUUAAUCACAGCGUCGCUUUUCACCGCGCGGCAAGCUUUAUCGCGCCCUGUGUACAGAAGCCACAUAACAACGAUUUCGUGAUUGAUGAUUCACUCAUUCUGUGAAAAAAUCUUGUUUAGUCAAUUUUAGACAAGCGUGAAUUAUUCUUCUAAUAAAACACAGAAGCAACCGUUGGACGUCGAUGAAUGAUUCGAAACUGAUGGGCACGUGUAUAACCCUAAUCUCAUUCUGCUCUGGCUAGAUAUAAUCAUAAUCUCGCUCUGAUCUGGUUAGACUAGGUUCUAGGACUAGACUCUGAUAAUCGAACAAAAGAUUAUAAUUAGUACAGAAAUUGUGCCUAAAAUAAAGAAAUCUUUUGUUUGGAAAUUUUUCAUAAAAUCUAUUGAUANUGGUGAUGCUACAUGUCAAAUUUGUAAUAAAAUAGUAAAGUGUGGCGGAAAAGGUGGUGGUACAACUAAUUUNAACAAUCACUUAAAACGAAAUCAUGCAGAAAAUAAAGAAGUGAAACUAAUUUUAGGAGAAAGUGAGGAUAGCAAUGAAAAGGCCCUUAAUCCGGAACAAGCAAGUAAUUCGCAAUUAAAAUUGUCAAUGCCAUCACCGGCAUCUACACUGACGUUCAUGGACAUAUCUGAUUCAACAAUUUCUUCACCAAUACCUAGUCCGUCAGAAUCAGAAAGCAGAUUUUAUCAUUCGGAUAAACAAUAUAUAUUCCAGNCAAAAAUCGAUAGCGCUUUUAAGCAA